rnacentral:ncRNA from 1 species
UGCAGUUUUGGUCCUGGACUCAGUAUUAAUUUUAACUAAGUUUACACAUGCAAGUUUCAGCACUCCAGUGAAAGCGCCCCAAUCAAACCAUUAUUUGAUUAGGAGCUGGUAUCAGGCACGCCCUAAGAUAGCCCAUAACACCUCGCUCUAAGCCACACCCCCAAGGGAAAUCAGCAGUGAUAAGUAUUAUAUAAUGAGCGAAAGCUUGAAUUAGCUAUAGUUAAAACGGUUGGUUAAUCUCGUGCCAGCCACCGCGGUUAUACGAGUAACACAUAUUAAUACUUGACGGCGUAAAGGGUGAUUAAAAUUAAUUCUAUCUACAUAUUAAAGUUAAAAAUUUAUAAAGCUGUUACACGCACUUAUAAAUAAAAAAAUACACUAACGAAAGUGACUUUACAGAACUGAUUAUUUGAAUUCACGAAAAUUAAAACCCAAACUAGGAUUAGAUACCCUACUAUGUUUAAUUAUAAACAGAUAUCGAUUUACUACCUUAUUCGCCAGAGAACUACAAGCGCUAGCUUAAAACCCAAAGGACUUGGCGGUCCUUCAAAUCCCCCUAGAGGAGCCUGUUCUAUAACCGAUAAUCCACGUUAAACCUCACCACUCCUUGCCCUUACCGCCUAUAUACCGCCGUCGACAGCUUACCCCAUGAGGGAAUAAAAGUAAACUAAAUGAAUAUAAUUAUUCAAUACGUCAGGUCGAGGUGUAGCACAUGUAGUGGAAAGAAAUGGGCUACAUUCUUUAUCCAAAGAAUCACAGACAAUAAAUGAAAAACAAUUAACAAGGUGGAUUUAGCAGUAAGAAUUAAAUAAGCAUAUUAUUCUGAAUCCGGCUCUGAAGCGCGCACACACCGCCCGUCACUCUCCUCAAACUAAAAAUCUAAUUAAAUAAAAAAAAUAACAUUUUAAGAGGAGGCAAGUCGUAACAUGGUAAGUGUACUGGAAGGUGCACUUAGAAUAAU